rnacentral:piRNA from 1 species
UCCAGAAUGUGCCUUCUCAGCCCUAC